CCUACGGGAGGCAGCAGUGGGGAAUUUUCCGCAAUGGGCGAAAGCCUGACGGAGCAAUACCGCGUGAGGGAGGAAAGCCUUUGGGUUGUAAACCUCUUUAAUCAGGGAAGAAAAUUUGACGGUACCUGAAAAAAAAGCAUCGGCUAACUCCGUGCCAGCAGCCGCGGUAAUACGGAGGAUGCAAGCGUUAUCCGGAAUAAUUGGGCGUAAAGGGUCCGCAGGUGGCCAUUCAAGUCUGCUGUCAAAGACCGCGGCUCAACCACGGGAGGGCAGUGGAAACUGUUUAGCUAGUAGAGUACGGUAGGGGUAGAGGGAAUUCCCAGUGUAGCGGUGAAAUGCGUAGAUAUUGGGAAGAACACCGGUGGCGAAAGCGCUCUACUGGGCCGAAACUGACACUGAGGGUCGAAAGCUAGGGGAGCGAAAGGGAUUAGAUACCCCUGUAGUCCUAGCUGUAAACGAUGGAUACUAGGUGUAGCUUGUAUCGACCCGAGCUGUACCGAAGCUAACGCGUUAAGUAUCCCGCCUGGGGAGUACGCACGCAAGUGUGAAACUCAAAUGAAUUGACGG
rnacentral:rRNA from 1 species